rnacentral:sRNA from 1 species
GACCUGCGGAAGGAUCAUUAGUGAAAUAUACGGAGGCUCUUCUGAGCUCCGGAUCUUCACCUCCUCACACUUGUGAACUGUCUACUCAGAGCUCCUGGAAGUAAGCUCUGGCGGGGGUCGGGUUUUUGUUAACUUGGCCCUUUGCUAUGAGCUCCGGGGUGCGCUGUCCUUAUAAACUCUAAAGUCAUCGAAUGUAAUAAGUUUAAUAAACAAAUAAAACUUUCAACAACGGAUCUCUUGGCUCUCCCAUCGAUGAAGAACGCAGCGAAAUGCGAUAAGUAAUGUGAAUUGCAGAAUUCAGUGAAUCAUCGAAUCUUUGAACGCAUCUUGCGCUCCUUGGUAUUCCGAGGAGCAUGUCUGUCUGAGUGUCAUGAAAUUCUCAACCCUUUGAUUUAUUUUGAAGGGCUUGGAUCAUGAGCGCUGCGGGCCCCAGCUGGGGUCGGCUCGCUCGAAAUAGAUCAGCGGUUAACCUUAGGUUUACUGGCCUGACUCGACGUGGUAGAGUGACUUUAUUCGUCGAGGAUCCCUGCUUGCGGGGAGCCACUGAACUUUGAGGCCGCUCCUAAUUGCGUAUGCACUCUUUUGGUUUAGACCUCAGAUCAGGCAGGACUACCCGCUGAACUUAAGCAUAUC